UAAAUCAUUGCUUAAGGUGUUCUUCCCGAG
rnacentral:piRNA from 1 species